AAGACCUUGCGCUUUUGGAGCGGCCGAUGCCUGAUUAGCUUGUUGGUAAGGUAAAAGCUUACCAAGGCUUCGAUCAGUAGCUGGUCUGAGAGGACGGCCAGCCACACUGGGACUGAGACACGGCCCAGACUCCUACGGGAGGCAGCAGUGGGGAAUUUUGGACAAUGGGGGCAACCCUGAUCCAGCCAUGCCGCGUGAGUGAAGAAGGCCUUCGGGUUGUAAAGCUCUUUCAGCCGGAACGAAACGGUUACGGUUAAUACCCGUGAUUACUGACGGUACCGGAAGAAGAAGCACCGGCUAACUACGUGCCAGCAGCCGCGGUAAUACGUAGGGUGCGAGCGUUAAUCGGAAUUACUGGGCGUAAAGCGUGCGCAGGUGGUUUUGUAAGUCAGAUGUGAAAGCCCCAGGCUCAACCUGGGAACU
rnacentral:rRNA from 1 species